CGUAUGUGGUACCUGCGGAGGGAUCAUUAUCGAGUUACCGCUCCUUAUAACCCUUUGUGAACAUACCCCAAACGUUGCCUCGGCGGGCAGCCGGAGCCCAGCUCGGGCGCGCGGAGCCGCCGUCUCGUCGCGCCCCACCCGCCGGCGGACCACUAAACUCUAUUUAAACGACGUCUCUUCUGAGUGGCACAAGCAAAUAAUCAAAACUUUGUGACAACGGAUCUCUUUGGUUCUGGCAUCGAUGAAAGAAACGCAGCGAAAUGCGAUAAGUAAUGUGAAUUGCAGAAUUCAGUGAAAUCAUCGAAAUCUUUGAACGCACAUUGCGCCCGCCAGCAUUCUGGCGGGCAUGCCUGUUCGAGCGUGAUUUUCAACCCUCAAGCACGGCUUGGCGGUUGGGGCCCUACUGCUUCGGUAGGCCCCGAAAUACAGUGGCGGACCCUCCCGGAGCCUCCGUUUGCGUAGGUAACAUACCACCUCGCACUGGGAUCCGGAGGGACUCCUGCCGUAAAACCCCCCAAUUUUCAAAGGCUGACCUCGAAUCAGUAGAUACCGCUGAACUAGCGAUUCAUACGGAGGAA
rnacentral:rRNA from 1 species